rnacentral:rRNA from 1 species
UGGGGAAUCUUCCGCAAUGGGCGAAAGCCUGACGGAGCAACGCCGCGUGAGUGAUGACGGCCUUCGGGUUGUAAAACUCUGUGAUCCGGGACGAAAAGGCAGAGUGCGAAGAACAAACUGCAUUGACGGUACCGGAAAAGCAAGCCACGGCUAACUACGUGCCAGCAGCCGCGGUAAUACGUAGGUGGCAAGCAUUGUCCGGAAUUAUUGGGCGUAAAGCGCGCGCAGGCGGCUUCCCAAGUCCCUCUUAAAAGCGCGGGGCUUAACCCCGUGAUGGGAAGGAAACUGGGAAGCUGGAGUAUCGGAGAGGAAAGUGGAAUUCCUAGUGUAGCGGUGAAAUGCGUAGAGAUUAGGAAGAACACCGGUGGCGAAGGCGACUUUCUGGACGAAAACUGACGCUGAGGCGCGAAAGCGUGGGGAGCAAACAGGAUUAGAUACCCUGGUAGUCCACGCCGUAAACGAUGGAUACUAGGUGUAGGAGGUAUCGACCCCUUCUGUGCCGGAGUUAACGCAAUAAGUAUCCCGCCUGGGAAGUACGAUCGCAAGAUUA